UUUUUUGGUACCGGGGAUCGAACUGUGAUCCUUGCACUUGCAGGGCAGGCGGUGGAACCACUGAGCUAAAUCCUCAGCCCCAAUUCUAACAAUUUUCAAGUGUACAGUUCUGUGGCAUUAAUUACAUUCAGGUUGAGGAUUCUGUGUUUGUUUGUUUGGUACCAGGGAUCGAACUCGGGUCUUUGUGUUUGCAAGGCAGGCAACCGAACUACUGAGCUAAAUCCCCAGUCUCUGAGGAUUCUGUUUUAAACAGUUACCUUGGGAUUCUGAUGUAACCAGAAAUGGGUAACACUUUGAAUGCUUGGGGGGUUUUUUGGUUUCUGUCUAGGCUUCUACAUAUUUUUCCUGGGGUCAGUUCUUCCACUCAUGCCUUUAACAACUGCUUACAUACUAACGCUCCUAAAUAUAUUGGUAGCCCUGGUCCAUGAUUCCAGACUAAUUAAUAUUUUUCCUAUCUUGAAAUAAUCCCCCUAAAUAGUUCUUUGGCAUAUCAAAUUCAUCGUAUCCCAAAAGCAAACUCAUCCUCUUUCCAAACCUAAUACUAUUGGUGGCAUUCAUUGAUUGCCCAAGCUAAAAAACUUGUGUUGACUCUUCCUUCAUAUCCCCCACAUUGAAAUAGUCGCAAAUUCACCAAAUUUAUUCCAUCUAUGUGGCUGGUUUCUGUGUUAAGCCACCUACUUCCCCAUUCCCUACCAUGUAGCCACAGUUUAUUCAUCUGUACAACUCAAAUAACAACUUUUCGUUUCCUAUGCCCAAGUGAGAUAAGAGACAUGAAGGCAUUUUGCAGAAUAUUUUGUUAAAUAAAAGUAAGGCACUAUUAACUUCUGAUAACACCCUGUAAGCAUGCUGCAGAUAUUUAUGCCUAUGAGACCAAAGGCUUAUGGGGAAAAAAACUCAUAGAAAACAUGCAUCUUACUAUUCUGUGUUUUUCAGAAGUAGUGUUGAGAGGGAGGGAUAUGGAACUAAUGGAGAUGAAGCCAGUUUUUAAUGGUCUCACAGUGAUCACCAGUGAUUACGGAGAUGAACUUACCCAUUCUCUGUAGACUUUACUUUAGGAAACCCUUUGCAACUUUAUUUCCCUGCUAGGUGCUCUUUCCUAUUACCCUUUGCCAAAGAAGGGCAAGGAAAUGUCUAUGGGACUGUGGUAGAAGGAGUAAUAGAACCCUAAGAUGUCUGUACCAAUCCCUGAACGUUAUCUUACGUAGCAGAAGGAACUGCAAUCCUGCUAACACCUUGAUUUUAGAUUUCUGGCCUCCAGCACUGUAAGAGAAUAAACUUGUGCUGAUUUAAACCAUGGAA
rnacentral:lncRNA from 1 species